rnacentral:misc_RNA from 1 species
UGGGCGGAAUAACAUUUUGAUGAUACAUCAAAUACAUUGACCAGAACUUCAGCAACAAUAAGAUUAUCGUGGAGCAAGCUUAAACUGAUAUUUAAAAAUAAAAAUACAUAAAGGAACAGAUUUGGGAACCCGUCAAUGUAAAAAUUUACAAUAGCAGCCUGAAACACAAGAUCUACGUAUCAGAGCUACAAUAUGCAAUUCUCUACUACCGUUUUGGUGAUGUAAGUUGCCUCAGGUUGUACUUGGCCAACUCCUUGUACUUUUCAACCACGCCAAUCAAGCACACAGUCUUCUGCGGCUCUCGAGUAUCCACAGGAA